GACCAUAGCUGAAUGGCAGAUUCAUUAAGUUUUCAAAUUUGCCCGAUUCUGCCACAUAUAAUAUAUAGCAGCUGGCAAAGGCUUGAUGACAAAGAGGUUUCUUGCAAGACUUUCCUGCACCAGAGUUUGGCUCCCCCAUGU
rnacentral:snoRNA from 1 species